rnacentral:tRNA from 1 species
CCAGUGGCUUAAUGGUAUAAGAGCUCGCCUUAUAACCGAAAGGUCCUGGGUUCGAACCCUGGCUGG